rnacentral:tmRNA from 1 species
GGGGGCGACUGGUUUCGACAGGGUGUGUUCGAGACGGGCAGCAGGCCGUGGUCUCCUCGCCACGUUAAACAGGGGUACCGUCAAACGAAUUGACGACAACACCUAUCAGGGCUAUGCCCUCGCUGCUUAAGUAACUAGCAGCCGCUGAUCUGGGGAUCUUCUCCUGUUCCCAAGGAAGCGUCAUUCAGGGAGAUGCACUGCGCGGACGUGGCGGGUAUGCCGCGCAGCCAAGAUCGAACCGGCUAGGGUGUGCGGAGUUGGUCGCUUGGCACCGAACACCCGAACCUUCCCAAGCGACUGAGCCUGGAGACACCUAUCGGGAAUGCGCUUUGGACCGGAGUUCGAUUCUCCGCGCCUCCACCA